rnacentral:tRNA from 1 species
GGUGAGAUGGCCGAGUUGGUUAUGGCGCCAGGUUAAGGUCUCUUAACAUCAUUUCCUGGUCACGAAAGUGGCGUGGGUUCAAGUCCCACUCUCAUCA